rnacentral:rRNA from 1 species
CAAUAGCGUAUAUUAAAGUUGUUGCGGUUAAAAGCUCGUAGUUGGAUUUCUGCUGAGGACGACCGGUCCGCCCUCUGGGUGAGUAUCUGGCUUGGCCUUGGCAUCUUCUUGGGAGAACGUAGCUGCACUUGACUGUGUGGUGCGGUAUCCAGGACUUUUACUUUUGAGGAAAUUAGAGUGUUUCAAGCAGGCAUACGCCUUGAAUACAUUAGCAUGGAAUAAUAAGAUAGGACCUUGGUUCUAUUUUGUUGGUUUCUAGAACUGAGGUAAUGAUUAAUAGGGAUGAGUUGGGGGCAUUCGUAUUAACUGUCAGAGGUGAAAUUCUUGGAUCGCCGUAAAGACGAACUACUGCGAAAGCAUUUGCCAAGAAAUGUUUUCAUUAGUCAAAGAACGAAA